rnacentral:rRNA from 1 species
GAUGAACGCUGGCGGCGUGCUUAACACAUGCAAGUCGAACGAUGAAGCCCAGCUUGCUGGGUGGAUUAUUGGCGAACGGGUGAGUAACACGUGAGUAACCUGCCCUUGACUCUGGGAUAAGCCCGGGAAACUGGGUCUAAUACCGGAUAGGAGCGCCUGUCGCAUGACGGGUGCUGGAAAGAUUUUUCGGUCAUGGAUGGACUCGCGGCCUAUCAGCUUGUUGGUGAGGUAAUGGCUCACCAAGGCGACGACGGGUAGCCGGCCUGAGAGGGUGACCGGCCACACUGGGACUGAGACACGGCCCAGACUCCUACGGGAGGCAGCAGUGGGGAAUAUUGCACAAUGGGCGGAAGCCUGAUGCAGCGACGCCGCGUGAGGGAUGACGGCCUUCGGGUUGUAAACCUCUUUCAGUAGGGAAGAAGCGGAAGUGACGGUACCUGCAGAAGAAGCACCGGCUAACUACGUG